rnacentral:SRP_RNA from 1 species
UGGCUAGACCGGAGGGUUAGGGGUCCUCUGUAGGCACACACCCCCUUUGGUGCGGUCGAAGUUCAAAAGGCGGCUUUUCAAGGAAGUAUAGGCCUAAAAAAACAAUAUAGAAACCUCGUCCUACAGGAUCGGUGGUGAUAAGAUCUUUACUGGAGGGUAAAGAUAAAUUGUCUUUGAUAUGGGAACGUGUUAGGCCCGGAAGGGAGCAGCUCUACUGUUAACAAUUGAUGCUUGUAGUAUCCCGGGGCGGAGUUGGGUUUUUAGAUAACUUAUAUUUUUGCGUU